GAACCGUACGAACGUUUAUUCGGAAUUACUGGGCUUAAAGGGUGCGUAGGCUGCACGGAAAGUUGGGUGUGAAAGCCCUCAGCUCAACUGAGGAAUUGCAUCCAAAACUGCCGUGCUUGAGGGAGACAGAGGUGAGCGGAACUCAAGGUGGAGCGGUGAAAUGCGUUGAUAUCUUGAGGAACACCGGUGGCGAGAGCGGCUCACUGGGUCUCUUCUGACGCUGAGGCACGAAAGCUAAGGUAGCAAACGGGAUUAGAUACCCCGGUAGUCUUAGCUGUAAACGAUGAGCACUUGAUUGGAGGGUCCUCCAUAGCCUUCCAGUCGUAGCGAAAGUGUUAAGUGCUCCGCCUGGGAGUAUGGUCGCAAGGCUG
rnacentral:rRNA from 1 species